rnacentral:rRNA from 1 species
GAUGAACGCUAGCGGGAGGCCUAACACAUGCAAGCCGAGCGGUAUUGUUUCUUCGGAAAUGAGAGAGCGGCGUACGGGUGCGGAACACGUGUGCAACCUGCCUUUAUCUGGGGGAUAGCCUUUCGAAAGGAAGAUUAAUACUCCAUAAUAUAUUGAACGGCAUCGUUUAAUAUUGAAAGCUCCGGCGGAUAGAGAUGGGCACGCGCAAGAUUAGCUAGUUGGUGAGGUAACGGCUCACCAAGGCGAUGAUCUUUAGGGGGCCUGAGAGGGCGAUCCCCCACACUGGUACUGAGACACGGACCAGACUCCUAUGGGAGGCAGCAGUGAGGAAUAUUGGUCAAUGGGUGCAAGCCUGAACCAGCCAUCCCGCGUGAAGGACGACUGCCCUAUGGGUUGUAAACUUCUUUUGUAUAGGGAUAAACCUACCCUCGUGAGGGUAGCUGAAGGUACUAUACGAAUAAGCACCGGCUAACUCCGUGCCAGCCGCCGCCGUAACAC